GCUGCUGUAGAUAAAUGGGAGAUCAUCCGGGUCCAUACCGGGAUGAUUGCGGUUCGAUUCCGCACGGCAGCG
rnacentral:tRNA from 1 species